GAGUUUGAUCCUGGCUCAGAACGAAUGCUGGCGGCAGGCCUAACACAUGCAAGUCGAGCGCCCAGCAAUGGGAGCGGCGCACGGGUGAGUAACGCGUGGGAAUAUGCCCUUAGGUACGGAACAACGUCGGGAAACUGACGCUAAUACCGUAUAUGACGAGAGUUGAAAGAUUUAUCGCCUAAGGAUUAGCCCGCGUUAGAUUAUGGUAGUUGGUGGGGUAAAGGCCUACCAAGCCGACGAUCUAUAGCUGGUUUGAGAGGAUGAUCAGCCACACUGGGACUGAGACACGGCCCAGACUCCUACGGGAGGCAGCAGUGGGGAAUAUUGCACAAUGGACGCAAGUCUGAUGCAGCCAUGCCGCGUGAGUGAUGAAGGCCUGGU
rnacentral:rRNA from 1 species